ensembl:lncRNA
CUUUUAAACAAUUUUUGUAUAGGACUUGAUGCAUCUAAAGAUUCAGAAGCAUAAGAGGAAUCUGUUUCCAGGACCUCUUUAAACCAAGCCAGGCCCUCCACCCUCUCCAUUGCUUUUUUCCUGGUAUUUCCAUUUCAUAUGAAAACAUUUAACCCAGGUCCUAACCCUCAACUGUCCCAUGAGUAUGUGAAUUACAGAUCCUUGCACAUCUGAAAUACUCUGCCUGCAGCUUUUUUUGGUUUUGCUUUGUUUUGUUUAUCCUACACAACUUCCUUCCUUCCUUCCUACCCCUGGCUCCCCAGGGCUUUUAGAGAUAGGCUAACCACUAAUCACGUCCUCCUGCAGGCUUCCUGCAGCAGCGAGAGAGAUCAAGAGCCAGACUCCUCCCUCUGCUCUUGGCCAAAGGGGGUUGAAAACAGUAAUGGCCAUCUUAACCAGCACUGCCGAGAUCUCUGGGAGACAUCCUUGAAUGCAGGGAGCAAUCAACUUUAAGUGACACACAGCAGCCCUGAAUGGGAGCAGAGUCACGGUCUCCAGAAGGCAACAUCUCUUCUAUGGUUUAGCCUCCACAGACGGCUGGCCUCCCAUUAGGUCGUUCCCCCAUGGGUGACAGUCACCCUGAGAGCUUGCUCAUGCACUCGUCACGCUCCCGAGCAUUCCACACAGGGCAAUUUCUCAGCAGAUUUAAGUGAUUCAAAUGUUUCUCCUCCCCAAGUGUUCUUUUCGAGGGCCAUUUGGAUUCCAGGGGCCACUGCCAACCAUACUGACUGACAUUCUUUCCAUUUCUUGCCUUCCUGUUGGGAGUGGAGAUUUUGAAAACUCCAUGGAUGAAUUUGUCAAGUUCUGAUCUAAAUUCAGGGCCAGAAUGAACACCUGCUAGGCAACGACUCCCCCCUUCCCACGGCCCCACAAAAAAGUUUGAGCUUGAUAAAUCCUCAAAGUGUGUGUGACAAGCCCCUCCGGAUCUAAAUGCCUUUGCCCAGCCGACCGCUCACUCACUUGUUCACUCCCAGUCUCCACUUAAUUUUCUUCAUGGGAAUGGUUUGCUAUAAACAGAAGAACAAGUUCUUACGGAGCACUUCAUAUCAAAGCGCUUUUUAAAUGGCACUUUGGAUGUCAACCACCCCAUCCGGGCUGGGGCACUUUACUCAUCGGCCUGGGUUAAAUAAAGGCACACAAGAGACAAGUGCUUUUUCCCAAGGUCUCCGAGGGGUGGGGUCAUCAAGGCUUGGAGAGACAGGCUGACUUAAUGACCAUCACGCCGAACUGCUGCAGGGUGGUGUUGAAGCCAAGGUCGUGCAGUCAGAGAGAUGCUCGAGUUUCUUAGCUCUGAGCUCCUGUUCCGGUGACUGUAUCUGUUACAUGUUUUCCUAUCUGCAAAGUGAAGGCUGCAAACCAUGAUCCUUUUCCAAAAGGAAUUUCAAACAAAUGGCAUUUGAAACAGAUGAGACUGGCAACGCUUUCCUUUAUGUAACUCUUUCCCUGUCUGCUUCACAACUAAUUGUUCCAGCAGACAAGCUGCGAGCCUGAAGAAAACAGGAUAUAUU